rnacentral:rRNA from 1 species
GAUGAACGCUGGCGGCGUGCCUAAUACAUGCAAGUCGAGCGAACAGACGAGGAGCUUGCUCCUCUGACGUUAGCGGCGGACGGGUGAGUAACACGUGGAUAACCUACCUAUAAGACUGGGAUAACUUCGGGAAACCGGAGCUAAUACCGGAUAACAUGUUGAACCGCAUGGUUCUACAGUGAAAGACGGUCUUGCUGUCACUUAUAGAUGGAUCCGCGCCGCAUUGGCUAGUUGGUAAGGUAACGGCUUACCAAGGCGACGAUGCGUAGCCGACCUGAGAGGGUGAUCGGCCACACUGGAACUGAGACACGGUCCAGACUCCUACGGGAGGCAGCAGUAGGGAAUCUUCCGCAAUGGGCGAAAGCCUGACGGAGCAACGCCGCGUGAGUGAUGAAGGUCUUCGGAUCGUAAAACUCUGUUAUUAGGGAAGAACAAAUGUGUAAGUAACUAUGCACGUCUUGACGGUACCUAAUCAGAAAGCCACGGCUAACUACGUG